UUAAAAACAAAUGUUGAUAUCUUUUUAUAAUAUUUACAAAAAAAAAAAAACGGUGCGGGAAAUGGACAUGAUUACAUUUCCGGAUGCGGGAAGCGGGAAUAUAAAAAAAAAAUAAACAAAAUCUGUUUUGAAAAAAAUAGGUGCGGGCGGGUCCGUCGAACAAGGAAUCAAAUUGGUGUGGCCUUACGGUAUUAAAUUAAAGGAGAGGUUUUUAGCCAAUUUAAAUCGAAAACAGUACAUUUAUAUUGUUCCUUAUAAACUACGAUAAGUUUUUUUUUUUAGUUCCACACAUACAAAAGAAAAAAUCUUCGCCGAUGUAACAUUUCAAUCAUUUUUACACCAAAAUGCCUUCACUGAAUUCAUUUGAAUUUCGUGGUGAUCAUGAUAGUACAUUGCAUA
rnacentral:lncRNA from 1 species